rnacentral:rRNA from 1 species
CUAUGCGCCUUGCCAGCCCGCUCAGGUGUGCCAGCCGCCGCGGUAAUACGUAGGGGGCAAGCGUUAUCCGGAUUUACUGGGUGUAAAGGGGGCGCAGACGGCAAUGCAAGCCAGGAGUGAAAGCCCGGGGCCCAACCCCGGGACUGCUCUUGGAACUGCAUGGCUGGAGUACAGGAGGGGCAGGCGGAAUUCCUAGUGUAGCGGUGAAAUGCGUAGAUAUCGGGAGGAACACCAGUGGCGAAGGCGACUACCUGGCCCACUCUUGACGCUGAGGCGCGAAAGCUAGGGAGCGAACGGG